CAGUCGCCGCGGUAAUACGUAGGGUGCAGGCGUUAAUCGGAAUUACUGGGCGUAAAGAGUGUGUAGGCGGUGCCAUAAGUUCGGUGUGAAAUCUCCCGGCUCAACUGGGAGGGUGCGCCGAAAACUGUAGCGCUCGAACGUGGGAGAGGAAAGCGGAAUUCCUGGUGUAGCGGUGAAAUGCGUAGAUAUCAGGAGGAACACCUGCGGUGUAGACGGCUUUCUGGACCAUUGUUGACGCUGAGACACGAAAGCGUGGGUAGCAAACAGGAUUAGAUACCCCCGUAGUCCCUGUCUCUUAUAC
rnacentral:rRNA from 1 species